GACGAACGCUGGCGGCGUGCUUAACACAUGCAAGUCGAACGGAAAGGCCCUGCUUUUGUGGGGUGCUCGAGUGGCGAACGGGUGAGUAACACGUGAGUAACCUGCCCUUGACUUUGGGAUAACUUCAGGAAACUGGGGCUAAUACCGGAUAGGAGCUCCUGCUGCAUGGUGGGGGUUGGAAAGUUUCGGCGGUUGGGGAUGGACUCGCGGGUUAUCAGCUUGUUGGUGGGGUAGUGGCUUACCAAGGCUUUGACGGGUAGCCGGCCUGAGAGGGUGACCGGCCACCAUGGGACUGAGAUACGGCCCAGACUCCUACGGGAGGCAGCAGUGGGGAAUCUUGCACAGUGGGCGGAAGCCUGAUGCAGCAACGCCGCGUGCGGGAUGACGGCCUUCGGGUUGUAAACCGCUUUCGCCUGUGACGAAGAGUGAGUGACGGUAAUGAGUAAAGAAGCACCGGCUAACUACGUG
rnacentral:rRNA from 1 species